rnacentral:other from 1 species
UGUGGGCAAUGAUAAAACUGUUUCGCCCUACAAGCUUUAUGAACGGGAGAGGUCUCUGAUCAUGGUGUGCACGCCUGCUUGGUACGAAGGUAUCAAAUUGUGGGAAGCCUGAAGUGAUUAUCACCGCACCCACCUAUUUUGGUGUUGGGUGCGAGACAAUGUCUUUUGAGUAGCCCAUAA